rnacentral:rRNA from 1 species
UACAGGGGGGGCAAGCGUUGUUCGGAAUUACUGGGCGUAAAGGGUUCGUAGGUGGCCAACUAAGUCAGACGUGAAAUCCCUCAGCUUAACUGGGGAACUGCGUCUGAUACUGGAUGGCUUGAGUGUAGGAGAGGAAUGCGGAAUUCCAGGUGUAGCGGUGAAAUGCGUAGAUAUCUGGAGGAACACCGGUGGCGAAGGCGGCAUUCUGGACCGACAUUGACGCUGAGGAGCGAAAGCCAGGGGAGCAAACGGG